UACGUAGGGGGCUAGCGUUGUCCGGAAUCAUUGGGCGUAAAGCGCGCGUAGGCGGUCAGGUAAGUCCGGUGUGAAAGUCAAAGGCUCAACCUUUGAAUGCCGCUGGAUACUGCCUGACUUGAGUCCGGAAGGGGCGAGUGGAAUUCCAGGUGUAGCGGUGAAAUGCGUAGAUAUCUGGAGGAAUACCGGUGGCGAAGGCGGCAUCCUGGACCGACAUUGACGCUGAACGGCGAAAGCUAGGGGAGCAAACGGG
rnacentral:rRNA from 1 species